GGAGUAGGACAAAUGACCGCUGCUUUGCCGUUGCGCAAGGGAGAGGAAAGUCCGGGCUCCGUAGGACGGGGUGCUGGGUAAUGCCCAGUCCUAGCAACAGGAAGGAAAGUGCCACAGAAAGCAAACCGCCCGGCACUCAGUUCCCUAAAAAAAUUCUAUUGGCUGUAGGACCGUCCGUUCAUCAACCCAGUGGAGUUUUAACAAGUUAUGGAACUGAGUGCCGGGUAAGGGUGAAACGGUGAGGUAAGAGCUCACCAGUCCUGCCGGUGACGGCUGGAGCUAGGUAAACCCCACCUGGAGCAAGACCAAAUAGGGGAACGCUUGAGGGUGGUCCGCCCGAGUUCCCGGGUAGGUCGCUUGAUCUCGACGGUAACGUCGAGGCUAGAUGAAUGGUCAUUGUCCCGAAAGCGGGUAACUGCUUCGGGAAACAGAACCCGGCUUACGUACUACUCUGACA
rnacentral:RNase_P_RNA from 1 species